UGCGCAGGCGGACUUGUUAGUCAGAGGUGAAAUCUCACUGCUCAACAGUGAAACUGCCUUUGAUACUGCAGGUCUUGAAUCCAGAAGAGAGUUGUGGAAUUCCGAGUGUAGCAGUGAAAUGUGUAGAUAUUCGGAAGAACACCAGCGGCGAAGGCAGCAACUUGGUCUGGUAUUGACGCUCAGGCACGAAAGCAUGGGGAUCAAACAGGAUUAGAUACCCUGGUAGUCCAUGCCCUAAACGAUGAUCACUUGAUGUCGGCCCUCAGGGUCGGUGUCGAAGCUAACGCGUUAAGUGAUCCACCUGGGGAGUACGCUCGCAAGGGUGAA
rnacentral:rRNA from 1 species